rnacentral:lncRNA from 1 species
UAUAUUGCCCUAAUUUGAGCUGUCUUAGGUUGAGUUGGCAUGUACAUAGUUGACCUAGUUAUGAAUUGCUUGUUCCAAUGAAUUUAUAUUGCUUGUUCCAAUUAAUAUAAAUAUCAUCAUCUUAGUCUAAUUGUCACUAAACUUGGAAUAGAAAAUACAAGCAAUCUUUUUGCCUCAAAUCGAAAUCGAGUUUAUGAACAAUUCUUAUUAUUCAAAGGGACUUUUCGAAUUGAAUAGAUUUGCAGGUGUUUG